rnacentral:lncRNA from 1 species
AGCAUCGAAGCGCGGCAGCCAUGUUCAGCGUGGCAUUUCGGAAGGCUUGUCAGGGGUGGAGAAGCGGGGCGGGUUGCUGUUCUUUCACCUGACACUAAAGCGCCAUGCCGGAAGCACUGAGUCUGAUACGUCGGAACCAGUCUCCACCGUGUGGUUUGGUCUUGAUUUCCACUGGUACUCUGGGGUCUUGGAUAAGUCUCUGGACCUCGCCUUUGUCAUUUGCGAAGUCGAUAGGUUCCAAUAGAGAUUUUCCCAGAAUCAUUCAACUAAAAAUAGAGAACUUUUUUUUUUUGAGAGGAAGGACGGGGGCGCAGUUAAAGAUGUUAAUGUUAAGUCAUCCCUUCUGUGAUUUCGGGACAUUAUCUUUGCACGCCAUGUGAAGAUGUGCUUGCUUCCUUGUCACCUUCCGCCAUGAUUGUAAGUUUCCUGAGGCCUCCCAGGAAGCAGAAGCCUGUACAGCCCACAGAACCAUGACCUGAUGAAAUCUCUUUUCUUUAUAAAUUACCCAGUCUCAGUUAGGACUUCCAGUACUACAUUGAAAAUAAAUGGUUAAAGUGAGUAUCAUGUCUUGUUCCUGAUCUCAGAAGAAAAGCUUUCAGUUUUCACCAUUGAGUAAAUGUUAGCUGAAAACAUAAUCAUCACUAAAAAAAGUUGUUAGCAUAAUUACUCACUUUGAUUAAAAUCAGAUUUAUAAGUUUUAUAAUAUUCAACACCUAUCAAAUAUAAUAUUAGCUUAUUUGGAUAGUAAACCCAAGUAGAAUAAAAUGUAUGUCUCCAUUAUACUUCAUGCUGACAACUCAGUCACAUAUCUGAUUUUAUUUAGCCAAUACUAUCAAAUGUCUUACUUAUCAAAGAUUUAUACAAAUUACAUACCCUUGAAAAACAUUUGGAUUAGUUACUAAAUUUCUGGGAGUUUUAAGGAAGUGCUUAUUUUUUUCUAAGCCUAUUAGAAUAGAAUUCUUUUUAAGAGAUUGAUAUAGUUUGGCUGUGUUCCCACCCAAAUCUCAUCUCGAAUUGUAGCUCCCAUAAUUUCCUCAUGUUGUGGGAGGGACCAGUGGGAGAUAAUUGAAUCGUGGGGUUGGUUUCCCCAAAACUGUUUUCGUGGUAGUGAAUAAGUCUCAUGAUAUCUGACGGUUUUAUAAGGGGAAAUCCCUUUCACUUGGCUCUCACUCUUUCUCUUUGCCUGCUGCCAUCCAUGUGAGACAUGCCUUUCACCUUCCACCAUGAUUGUGAGGCCUCCCCAGCCACGUGGAACUAUCAAUAGGGGUCAGGGGAUAUCUUUCAUGAGGUUCCAGCACAAACACAACAAAAUGCAGCAGCCAAAUCACAAAAAAAAAAAGAAAAAAAAGUUGUGAGAAGAUGAGAUGUCUAAAAGUGACUUAAUAUGGAUCAAGUCAAGAAUAAUCCAGCUAAGUUUAAACUUCAAUCAAUGAUAAGAAGAAAAAGAAAAGAAGCCUUUCUGUGAGAAAGGCUAUUUCACAGUGUAAAGACAAAGAAUUGCAUGCUUCAUGAAAAGGAUUUUAUCUCUCUGCUGAGUGAUUCUCGGGACAGCAACCAAGUGCAUCAUCAUCAAGUCCACCUGGGGAUGAUGCUACUUACAACAGCUCAGCACACAUUGCACACUUAUUGCCAUGCGUCUUCCCAUCAGGACCAAGAACAGGAUCAUUUUCCCUUGUGCAUCCAAGUCUUCCAUCUCUAACAAAGGGCCGAAAAGCACUGCAUACAUCCUGAAGAACAGGGAAAAGAACUUGAAACUUACCAAGAUUGUAAUGCUGACAACACUGUUUUCAGAAAUUUUAUUGAACUCAGUCCCUCUGACAUUGCUAUGGGCCACUUAGAGCAGUACCAGCUGUGUAGAUGUAGCUCAGUAAGUACUCUAUAAUUCAUGUGGUUAAAUAUAAAACUUUUUUACUUGUUUAUUCAUUUAUUUAGUAAACAGAUAACCUACUAUGUGCCAGAACUCAGACAGAGCACAGUCCUUGCCAUCAACUUGCUCCCAAUCUCCUAGGUGAUAAAAAGAGACAUUUAAAAUUGCAUGAUGCUAAAUGACUUGGUGCAAGUCACCUCAGGUGCUCUGGAAGCUUAUAAAAAGGGCAUCAGACCUUGAAAAUUAGGAAAAUCAUUCACCUGGAAAAAGACAAGUGUGACAUGUAUGAGAUCCUUUCUUCCUUCCCCUUCCCCUACCAUCACAGGCUCACAAAACUGUAUCAUAGAAAAAAAAUCUAUUUAGUUCAAAUCUCAUUUUAGGUUAAGUAAUUUGUCCAAGGUCUCCAAACAGCAAGUGACACUGCUGGGGUUUUAACGCAGGCUAAGUGACUGAAGUGUUGUGCCCUUUCUACUACACAUGUAGUUUCCUUUUUAUUUCUUCUUCUUCUUUUUUUUUUUAUACAAAGCAGCAAUAGAUUGAAAGAUCUAACCACCAAAGUAAUCUGAUCCAGUUUCAGAGACUAUAAUUAGCUUUUUCAUAUUAGUGGGCAGUACUGGGUAUUCCAUUUCACAUAAAGCAAGAAUUAAUUCCUUCCAAGGCUCCCACCUAAGAAGGAAGAGGAGAGCACCUACUUACUAUUUGAAGUUAGCCUCCCAGUAUUUCCCAUCAGGCUGACAAUUGACCUCACCUGCUCUGGAUUACUGCUCUUACAUUCCCCUUCACUUUUUACACCAAUUUGGGACCCGGUUUUCCUAGAAUCAAAAGUUAGUAGACACAGCAGUUUAAUAUCACAGAACUUCCCACCAUUCAAACCUAACUGCUCUACAUUGCAUUGUCAUUCUCCUUUACUCCCGAAAACAGCUGCCACAUAGUAUUAUUUUAUUACUUUUUCUAAUAAAAGUCACUGUUUAUAACUUCAAGUCAAAGAAAUGUAGUUAACAUGGAAGAGAUGGUAAAGAUUCAGACUUGUAAAUGUUAUUUAUAGAAAUCUUUUUUUAACCUUUGUUUAGAGGAGGGAUCCACAUCAGAAGAUGGGGAAAAGUAAAGCUUGUAACUGGAUAAUA